GUUUCACUUUCGGUUUGGAUAAUUUUGGAAACAAGGUUAAUUCGAAAGUAGGACUAACGUGGUGAAAUAAUGUUGGAAUUUUAAACCAUUUGUAACAUUGAAUGAACAAAUGAAAGUUGAUCGUGCUGUUUUCAUCAAAAUUUGGGCAGAAAGUUUGGCGCUAGUUAGAUACCCGUCGUAUACAGCCUUAUAAAAAUACACGGAUCACGCGUUUAAUGAAUCAGUGCAAGACACGAGAUCUAUCUACCGGAGCAUACCGGAGAUAGUCGAUGUACCAUGAAUGUAGUUUUAUCAUAAUCAUCUUAAAAAUAUGUAACCUUGACUUUCCUCGUUCUACGAAAACCGAUAUCAUGUUUUGAAGCCGUUUUCCUUAAUCAUUCGUAAAAAAAACAUGUGCGCGUUGGAUAACCUUGACUGCACAUUUCGUUGAAUGCAAUUAUGCAAGCAUGAAAACUCAGAUGUUUGGUCGUAGUUAACCAUUAAAUUAAAACGAGGAAAAUUUAUAAUCGAAAUUCGUCUUUUAAACUUAGUCAUAUGUGCGAUUGGAAGGUGAAUCAUUUGCCUUGACAGUAUAAUUCGUGCGAUUUUCAACAUGACAACGUCACUGACAGUUUUGGAGAUUGUUGGACCUUGGAAAUUGGUUCCAUUCUUCAUAACCUGCAUCAUUUUCUUCGUGUUGUUUGCUAAUACGCCUGCUUCAGAAACAAGCACACCCUGGUUCUACUGCAUCGUGAAAUGUCUUCCAAUUAUUUCACUGAUGUUGUUCGUUCUCUUACAUUUUAUUACCACCACCGUGAAUAACAGCUAUUCAUGGCAUAUCCUCAUUGGGCUAAUAUUUUCUUGUCUAGGAGAUGCGUUUUUGGUGUGGGAAAAAUAUUUUAAGCUAGGAGCGGUCUGCUUUUCUAUCUCACAGAUUUGCUAUUUAAUGGCCUUUGGAUGGACCCCGUUUGACCCAUAUGUUGCGAUUGUAGUGUUUGGAGUCGGAUACCUUGGAUACUCAUACCUCAGCACUUCCCUGCAUGGUGUAAUCCGUUAUAUGGUGGCAGCUUACAUCGCUGUGGAAUGCACCAUGACAUGGCGCGCGGUGGCCCGUGUCCAGUUCUCUGAUGAUCUCGCGAGCCAGUGGACGAAGUUGUCUGCAUGCUUAGGAUCAAUUGCGUUCGUGAUAUCAGAUCUCAAGCUUGCAAUUGAUAUGUUCAAGGGUCCGAUUCCCUAUGCUCACGUCGGGAUCAUGGUGACGUACUACGCAGCACAGUUCGGAAUAGCUCUCUCUGUUGUUGAAAGUAAGGCUGGAUAGAUAAUUGGCUCUUCCUAAAUAGCUCAGAAAGAACUGAUAAAAAAGCAGGAACGUGAUAAAACUCGGAAUGGCGAAAUUGAUGUCAUUCUCACCAUAGCGACAAUGCCAUGAACGAAUCUUCAACUAUGGAAAACCUUGUGUAUAAAUGACUUAUUAUUGUGUAAAUAUGGCAUUUAUUUUCCAAAGUUCAAUUCCACUUCAUGUUUGUUUUUUGUUUUUUGCUUAUAUUGUGUAACUUAAUCGUUAUAGAUAUCAAUGAGUAGCCGGUAUAUUUAAACAAGAUGUGUUAAUGUCAAUAUUAUGUACUACACUGUAGCAAUUAUGUGUUUACUUUUAGUCCCUUUAUUUUGAAUAUUGUUUUUAUUACAUGAUACUAGUAAUGACCUAUUAACAAUAUCGUAUGAUUCGCAAUUCUUAAUGGCUCCUUAUGAAAUAAUAUCCCGAUCGAAAUAAUAUUCAAACAGGUAUUGCAAUUUAUUGCUAUAACUCUUAGAUUGUGUAAAUAUCUUAUCGUUUGAACGACAUUGUAUACAUUCGUACGGUACAUUUGAUAAUUGUCAGCAAUUUGGGAGUUAUAUGGCCUAUCUUUUGAACGUCAUUGUACACUUUUUUACUUUUACAUUUGAUAAUUGAUAGGGAUAAGGGUGUUUAGAGAACACGUCGAAACAAUUUUCUAGAGAACGUUUUAGUUUAACGAUACUGUUGCAUUUUUUUAAUAAGCUCAUUUCGUCCAUUUAAUUAUGUUCAAGUUGGGAGCAAUGGAUACUUCUAUAAUGUUAUUGCUGGUCACACAGUGACCUCUGUUUAAUACCAGGUGCAGGCCAUCUCUCCCAUGAGUACCUUUGCAUUUCUGCUAAUUGCUUAUCUCUCAAUUUCUGCAAUUUCUAGAAAUUUGCAUAUUGGCGAAAAUUUGCAUAUUGGCGAAACUUUGCAUAUGAGCGAAAAUUUGCAUACAGCCUUAUUUGAAUAGUAUAUAAAGAGGGUUUUGGGGAUUAAAAGGGAGUUCAGGAGGGAAACGGAUGGAUGCUUUAAAUAUAUAUUGUUGAAAACGUGUGUCUUGAAAUCAGUACGUAAAUGUUUUAAAUAUACUUUUUGUUACUAAUCAUAAUAGUGUAUUUCUAGUGUGCUUUCUUGAAUAAUGUGUGAUUGUGAAAUAAAAUUAGUAGAAGACAUUUGAGUUUGGAUUCAAUAAUUGUUCACAAAUUCAACGUGGACUGAUGGCAGCAAAUUUACCGCUGUUUGCCCAAACUAAUCCAUGUUAUUUUGGGCCAUGCAAUAUUACUGACCGUGGGGAGGAACUUUAUUGACACUGUGUGUUGUAUGUGUUGGAUUUUAAAAUGAGUGACCAAGGGAAAAUAAGACAAUAAUUACAGACAGAUAUGAACUGUAAUAUUGAAUGACGCUAACAUUUUUGAAAUUUCAAUUUAAUCUUUUUCAAUAAACUGAUAUUUAAAUGUUGUAGUUUUUACAUGGUUUAUCUCUAUGCAUUAUUGCUGUGUGCGACAUUGUAUCAUAGUUUAUGCAAUUAAUAUCUUUUUAAGAAAUUGUCAACGUGAUGAUAAUAUUAUCAUUGUAAACUGUUUUCUUAAACUGUUUAGCAUUAUAAUAUGUUUGUCUCAUUACUGCUUUAAAAUUGCUUUGCUUUAGGUGAGGUAUAUAUAUAGAUGCUGUUUUCUUUUUAUUUGCCAGAGAUAUUGUGUUGACUUGUUUUGUUGUUGUUGGGUGUUGUUGUUUUUUUUCUUUUUUAAUGUUGAUGAAAAUUGUUUUGAAAUAAUUCUUUAACAGUUUUUUAGGGACAGUGCAUGGAUAAAUUUCAAAAAUAUGUUAUGACCUUGUGUGGAUGAAGUUUUUGAAUGGCAUAGGCCUGGUCAAAAUAAUUUUGUUUUUAAAUUUAUCCAUACAUUUUUUUUAGAGUAUCAACAAAAAAGGGUAGUUUGUAAAUUUACUGUUUGAAUGUGUGAGUGUCUAGUAACUGCUUAUUAUCCUGUCGCCAGGAGGCUCCAAUCCGAGAGGAGGGCAGUGUUGCAUUUUUUUAAUAAGCUCAUUUUGUCCAUUUAAUUAUGUUCAAGUUCGGAGUAAUGGAUACUUCUAUAAUGUUAUUGCUGGUCACACAGUGACGUCUGUUUAAUACCAGGUGCAGGCCAUCUCUCCCAUGAGUACCUCUGCAUUUCUGCUAAUUGCUAAUCUCUCAAUUUCUGCAAUUUCCAGAAAUUUGCAUAUUGGCGAAAAUUUGCAUAUUGGCGAAAAUUUGCAUAUGAGCGAAAAUUUGCAUACAGCCUUAUUUGAAUAGUAUUUAAAGAGGGUUUUGGGGAUUAAAAGGGAGUUCAGGAGGGAAACGGAUGGAUGCUUUAAAUAUAUAUUGUUGAAAACGUGUGUCUUUAAAUCAGUACGUAAAUGUUUUAAAUAUACUUUUUAUUACUAAUCAUAAUAGUGUAUUUCUAGUGUGCUUUCUUGAAUAAUGUGUGAUUGUGAAAUAAAAUUAGUAGAAGACAUUUGAGUUUGGAUUCAAUAAUUGUUCACAAAUUCAACGUGGACUGAUGGCAGCAAAUUUACCGCUGUUUGCCCAAACUAAUCCAUGUUGUUUUGGGCCAUGCAAUAUUACUGACCGUGGGGAGGAACUUUAUUGACACUGUGUGUUGUAUGUGUUGGAUUUUAAAAUGAGUGACCAAGGGAAAAUAAGACAAUAAUUACAGACAGCUAUGAACUGUAUUAUUGAAUGACGCUAACAUUUUUGAAAUUUCAAUUUAAUCUUUUUCAAUAAACUGAUAUUUAAAUGUUGUAGUUUUUACAUGGUUUAUCUCUAUGCAUUAUUGCUGUGUGCGACAUUGUAUCAUAGUUUAUGCAAUUAAUAUCUUUUUAAGAAAUUGUCAACGUGAUGAUAAUAUUAUCAUUGUAAACUGUUUUCUUAAACUGUUUAGCAUUAUAAUAUGUUUGUCUCAUUACUUCUCUAAAAUUGCUUUGCUUUAGGUGAGGUAUAUAUAUAGAUGCUGUUUUCUUUUUAUUUGCCAGAGAUAUUGUGUUGACUUGUUUUGUUGUUGUUGGGUGUUGUUGUUUUUUUUUCUUUUUUAAUGUUGAUGAAAAUUGUUUUGAAAUAAUUCUUUAGCAGUUUUUUAGGGACAGUGCAUGGAUAAAUUUCAAAAAUAUGUUAUGACCUUGUGUGGAUGAAGUUUUUGAAUGGCAUAGGCCUGGUCAAAAUAAUUUUGUUUUUAAAUUUAUCCAUACAUUUUUUUUAAGAGUAUCAACAAAAAAGGGUAGUUUGUAAAUUUACUGUUUGAAUGUGUGAGUGUCUAGUAACUGCUUAUUAUCCUGUCGACAGGAGGCUCCAAUCCGAGAGGAGGGCAGUGUUGCAUUUUUUUAAUAAGCUCAUUUUGUCCAUUUAAUUAUGUUCAAGUUGGGAGUAAUGGAUACUUCUAUAAUGUUAUUGCUGGUCACACAGUGACCUCUGUUUAAUACCAGGUGCAGGCCAUCUCUCCCAUGAGUACCUCUGCAUUUCUGCUAAUUGCUAAUCUCUCAAUUUCUGCAAUUUCCAGAAAUUUGCAUAUUGGCGAAAAUUUGCAUAUUGGCGAAAAUUUGCAUAUGAGCGAAAAUUUGCAUACAGCCUUAUUUGAAUAGUAUAUAAAGAGGGUUUUGGGGAUUAAAAGGGAGUUCAGGAGGGAAACGGAUGGAUGCUUUAAAUAUAUAUUGUUGAAAACGUGUGUCUUGAAAUCAGUACGUAAAUGUUUUAAAUAUACUUUUUGUUACUAAUCAUAAUAGUGUAUUUCUAGUGUGCUUUCUUGAAUAAUGUGUGAUUGUGAAAUAAAAUUAGUAGAAGACAUUUGAGUUUGGAUUCAAUAGUUGUUCACAAAUUCAACGUGGACUGAUGGCAGCAAAUUUACCGCUGUUUGCCCAAACUAAUCCAUGUUGUUUUGGGCCAUGCAAUAUUACUGACCGUGGGGAGGAACUUUAUUGACACUGUGUGUUGUAUGUGUUGGAUUUUAAAAUGAGUGACCAAGGGAAAAUAAGACAAUAAUUACAGACAGAUAUGAACUGUAAUAUUGAAUGACGCUAACAUUUUUGAAAUUUCAAUUUAAUCUUUUUCAAUAAACUGAUAUUUAAAUGUUGUAGUUUUUACAUGGUUUAUCUCUAUGCAUUAUUGCUGUGUGCGACAUUGUAUCAUAGUUUAUGCAAUUAAUAUCUUUUUAAGAAAUUGUCAACGUGAUGAUAAUAUUAUCAUUGUAAACUGUUUUCUUAAACUGUUUAGCAUUAUAAUAUGUUUGUCUCAUUACUUCUUUAAAAUUGCUUUGCUUUAGGUGAGGUAUAUAUAUAGAUGCUGUUUUCUUUUUAUUUGCCAGAGAUAUUGUGUUGACUUGUUUUGUUGUUGUUGGGUGUUGUUGUUUUUUUUUCUUUUUUAAUGUUGAUAAAAUUGUUUUGAAAUAAUUCUUUAACAGUUUUUUAGGGACAGUGCAUGGAUAAAUUUCAAAAAUAUGUUAUGACCUUGUGUGGAUGAAGUUUUUGAAUGGCAUAGGCCUGGUCAAAAUAAUUUUGUUUUUAAAUUUAUCCAUACAUUUUUUUAGAGUAUCAACAAAAAAGGGUAGUUUUUAAAUUUACUGUUUGAAUGUGUGAGUGUCUAGUAACUGCUUAUUAUCCUGUCGCCAGGAGGCUCCAAUCCGAGAGGAGGUCAGUGUUGCAUUUUUUUAAUAAGCUCAUUUUGUCCAUUUAAUUAUGUUCAAGUUGGGAGUAAUGGAUACUUCUAUAAUGUUAUUGCUGGUCACACAGUGAUCUCUGUUUAAUACCAGGUGCAGGCCAUCUCUCCCAUGAGUACCUCUGCAUUUCUGCUAAUUGCUAAUCUCUCAAUUUCUGCAAUUUCCAGAAAUUUGCAUAUUGGCGAAAAUUUGCAUAUUGGCGAAAAUUUGCAUAUGAGCGAAAAUUUGCAUACAGCCUUAUUUGUAAAGUAUAUAAAGAGGGUUUUGGGGAUUAAAAGGGAGCUCAGGAGGGAAACGGAUGGAUGCUUUAAAUAUAUAUUGUUGAAAACGUGUGUCUUGAAAUCAGUACGUAAAUGUUUUAAAUAUACUUUUUGUUACUAAUCAUAAUAGUGUAUUUCUAGUGUGCUUUCUUGAAUAAUGUGUGAUUGUGAAAUAAAAUUAGUAGAAGA